rnacentral:rRNA from 1 species
GACGAACGCUGGCGGCGUGCUUAACACAUGCAAGUCGAACGGAAAGGCCAUGCUUUUGUGGGGUGCUCGAGUGGCGAACGGGUGAGUAACACGUGAGUAACCUGCCCUUGAAUUUGGGAUAACUUCAGGAAACUGGGGAGAAUACCGGAUAGGAGCUCCUGCUGCAUGGGGGGGGUUGGAAAGUUUCGGCGGUUGGGGAUGGACUCGCGGCUUAUCAGCUUGUUGGUGGGGUAGUGGCUUACCAAGGGUUUGACGGGUAGCCGGCCUGAGAGGGUGACCGGCCACAUUGGGACUGAGAUACGGCGCAGACUCCUACGGGAGGCAGCAGUGGGGAGUAUUGCACAGUGGGCGGAAGCCUGAUGCAGCGACGCCGCGUGCGGGAUGACGGGCUUCGGGUUGUAAACCGCUUUCUCCUGUGACGAAGCGGGCGUGACGGUAAUGGGUAAAGAAGCACCGGCUAACUACGUG